UCCCGAUUUCUUCUUCUUUUUUCCCCAAUUUCUUCUGCUGUUGCUCUGUCCUACUCGCUCCAUCUUCUUCCCCCCUCCAUCUGCAUCGUCGUCCCUGUCAACGAAGCGCCGAACGAGACAAAACAUUGUUGUCUCUGCAUCUGAGCAUCUCAUUAUUUUUCUGGGCAUGGCAAAGGCGUAACUUUUGGGCAGAUUUGGGGAAGCAAGAACUUCCAGUGUUUGGGCAAAUCUGGAGCCCUGAUUCUGGCAUUAGCAUAUUUGAACAUGGAUUCAGAGCCCUGAUACUCUAAUACGACUUGGUGAUUGAAAACAAGCCAUUGUAACAAAAAAGGAAGAAAUACGUCACUGGAUGUUAGUGAUCAUUGAUCCAGAUGACCAUACAUGUUACUAUCUUGAUCCACUUAGAAAAUCUCCUCCAAAUGAUUUGAAGAACCUUAUGAACAGUGUCUCUUCACACAUUAAGCGAAAAACAGGAAGGAAUGAAAAAAAUUACAAGUGGAAAAUAGUCAAUUGCCCUCGUCAAACAUCGUCAGUAGAGUGCGACUUUUAUAUCAUAAGGAUGAUGAAGGACUAUUGCUUGAAUGUGACACCCAUGCGAUGGCUAACUAGUAAUGUAAGUGUAUUUAUAAUUAUUGAACUACAAUUCUAUUGAAUUUAAUUUCUGACUUAGUUUUUUAUUUUGUGUUUUGUAAUGUGGUGGGAAGAAUAAAUAUACACUUGGCGAAAUUAAUGAAACUCGAAAUGAAUGGGCAGCGAAGCUUCUUGAGCGGAUGAGUCAUAGCUAGAGUAACUUUUGAAAUCAGAAUUAAAAAAAUAUACUAAUUGUAGUUUUUAGUUAGCACUUACAUAGUUAUU